UACAGAGGUCUCAAGCGUUGUUCGGAUUCAUUGGGCGUAAAGGGUGCGUAGGCGGCGCGGUAAGUCGGGUGUGAAAUCUCGGAGCUUAACUCCGAAACUGCAUUCGAUACUGCUGUGCUCGAGGACUGGAGAGGAGACUGGAAUUUACGGUGUAGCGGUGAAAUGCGUAGAUAUCGUAAGGAAGACCAGUGGCGAAGGCGGGUCUCUGGACAGUUCCUGACGCUGAGGCACGAAGGUCAGGGGAGCAAACGGG
rnacentral:rRNA from 1 species